CUCUGUUGAUAAUCAUCAAGCGCUCCUGGAAAUAACGGAAAAAGAAAAUCUACGAAUCUGAUUAUGUUAUCAGGUGACAUAGAAAAAAUACGUUGAAUGAAGAGGUCAUAAUAUCGUCGUAAACUAAAUCACAAAGUUCCCGCAGCUUUUAAA